rnacentral:rRNA from 1 species
UACGUAGGGGGCAAGCGUUGUCCGGAUUUAUUGGGCGUAAAGAGCUCGUAGGCGGUCUGUCGCGUCUGCUGUGAAAACUCGGGGCUUAACCCCGGGCCUGCAGUGGGUACGGGCAGACUAGAGUGCGGUAGGGGGAGAAUGGGAAUUCCUGGUGUAGCGGUGGAAUGCGCAGAUAUCAGGAGGAACACCGAUGGCGAAGGCAGUUCUCUGGGCCGUAACUGACGCUGAGGAGCGAAAGCGUGGGGAGCGAACAGG